CUACGUUUUAUUCUCUUAAUAUUCAGAAAGGUGAAGUCAAAUUUUAAGGAAGAAACGUAUGGUUCUUCUAAAGAACGAUAUUCGGGAUUUGCUCAAUACUUCGAAUUCAUUGUUUCAUUUUAUCUCGUUAUUGAAUUGUGGCUUUCUUUGAAGGGAAGUAAAGUGAAAGAAGAUCAUUUCUUGGUAUAUAAGGCUAAAAGGGCGACGAAGCAAGCUUGGUUACGGUUGAUCUACGCAAGGUAGACAGGGAGGAGAGCUCGACCCAGAUCCGUAGUAGCUGUCAGCUGAUUGAAAGCACUCCUUUGUCCCGGAGGUGCUCGAUUAUUCUUUUGCGUAUAUAGUCAUGUAUAUGUAUUUUUGGGCAUCAUGGGGUCUUGUCCCGUCCUUAUGUCUAGCACUCCAGUAGAGGCUCGUAGAUGCGCAG